AAAAUAAAAUCAGCAACAUGAACAAGAAAUGGUGUGACAUACAUUGUCACACCUCCAAAGAUCACAUCAUAUCUCACAAUCCAGAAAGGCAAAAAUCACAAACCAUAUACCAAAAGAUCACUUAAGAUGUCUAGAUCAUGCAUAUAAAAUUUCAGCUCCAUAGGAUCAAGCAUCAUGAUUUCACAAUCAAAAUGGUAAAGCAUAGGCAAAUAGCAUACAUGAACAAAACCAUUAGACCAAAAUAAAAACAGGCCGUGCACAACUUUUG
rnacentral:lncRNA from 1 species